AUAUUUUAAUAUAUGUAUUACCAAUGUAUUUUCAGUUUUAUUGAUAAUUUCAGUAUUAUUGAUAAUCUUGUCAUUUUUAGUGUGAUUCUAUAAAAAUAAGUUAAUACUAACUUUUAAGUGUAUUAUGUUUAUUAAAACAGUGUAAUUGCAAUUUAAUAAUUGUAUUGAAUGCCAUCAAGAGUUUAUUGGAAGAGCUCAUACAGCAUCAAAUAAACUUAUUUUUACUUCAGAUAGAACAGAAGUAUUUAUUUUUCCUUUCUCUAGUAAAAUGAAAUUACUUUAAAGAAUUUUUUUAUCUCACAGGUAAAUAUACAUUAUAAAAUACACAUUUUAAACAACAUAGAAGAUAAUUUUUAGUAGUAUUUCUAAAUAUUUUCUUGUAAGGGAAAGUAUCAAAACCUGAAAUUUCUGAAAUCCUGUGUCUCAGAAUACACUUAAUCAUAACUUUAAAGGUAGGAAAGACCUUACAGGUGACCAGCCUAUUGGUUGAGUAGCUCAGGAAACAGAAACUAAAAUUAAGAAAUUUGCUACACAUGCAGAUUAGGAUCUUAACUCUAUGCCUUGUAAGUUUAUACUAUCAUAUUGUUUUUUUCUUGUUUUUAUUUAAAUGUUUUUUAAAUCCUUAGCCAAAGAUUUUUGUUUGAAAGUAAAGUAAAAAAUAUGAAACCUUAUUUGUUUUUUAAAUAUCUAAUAUUUAAGUAGAGUAAGACCAAAAAUUAUUAUGGUAGUCAUUAAUUUUAUAGAUGCCAACACAGUCAAAAUUUUCCGUUUAAUUACAGUUUGAAGGAAAAUAUUUUCUUUACCUUCUAUUCCUUAUUUGUUGGUGUUUUAUUAAGUUAUUCAACUAAAAAUUGAUGUUCAGGAUAAGAAGAGUGUGUUUGUGUAGUGUACCAUACUUCUGGUCUUAAUUCUUACAAGGAAUAUCUUACCCCUUUCAUGUAACCAAGCAGAAAAUCUACAAAAUAAAAGCAGUUCUUAAUGAAUCAUUUUCAAUUAUAACAGUCUGUUUUGGAAACUUUAAAAGUAUUUCCGAUAUAAUUUAAGGCAUUGUAUUCAAAAAUCUUCUGUUUAAGUUCUAAUUUGAAGGUUUCUUUUUAAGUUGAUGCCAAAUAAUUCCAAUAUUGAGCAUCUUAAAUCUGUUACUUGGAGUAUGGAUUGAGUUUGGAGCUAACUCAGAGGACUAAAGGUGGAUAUUACUAAUCCUUAUCCAUGGAAAAGGUUUUAUUCUAAGUGUCAUUUCUCAUUGAAUAUUAGCAAAAAGGAGAAAAACUAAUGCCCUAAACUUUUGAGAUAGUUUUGGCUCUAGCUAUAUCCAAUGAAGAAAAUGGCAAAACAAGUUUAAACCUUUUAUGUUAAAAUUACUGUGCAAGGUGACAAGCAUUUAUUUUGACAUCACCACUGUCCCCACAAAAAAUGUGAGAACUGACUGUACCAUGGAUACCUAGACCAUGGAAAGGACUGAGGCUGGAGACUGGAAGUAGAAACAGACAUUGUACAGAGCAAAGUGCCAACAACAGCUCACUCUAGUAAAGGGCAAUAAAUGCCCCAUGAGGUGAUCUCCUCAGUACAAGACUUUACAUCUGACUCAUAUGCCUGGUCUGAUGACUUCUACUAUCUUUUCGUGACUCCUAAAUUAUGGAGGUUGGUAUCCAUUAAAAGUUCUCAUCACCUACCUGCAUUUGAAGUUAAUUCCAGCUUGCAGAAAGUACUGUCAAAGUCUAGCAUUCCGUAGCUGGCAAGCUAGAUCUAUCUAGAAGUUUAUUCUUGAUGAAGAGUCACUUUAUGAGGGCCUUAAGAAAUGAUUCAUUCAGGAAGGAGUCAUCAUGGAGGUCGGAGCUGAGACUCUAGAAAGGCCUUGCCUGGAUUGGAGUCCAGAAUCACCAGCAGUGUAACAUUCGGCAGAUUACUUGCCAUGAUCUUCAGUUUCCUCAUAUAUAAAACAGAGGUUAUCAACAUGAGUUCACUGAAUGCAGAGCUGGGAAGAGAUUAUCAGAAUCAGCUCUCUCAAACCAAUAUGAACCUGCUCCAGCACACCCAAGAGAGAAUUUCUUUUCUUUUUUGCUGCCUCUUUGUUCACUGCUGAAACCAAGAUCUGCUCCCUCUCAGGCAGAGGACCAGGAAUACCUCUCUGAUGUGGCUCCUGCAGAAGUAAGAGUUUUUUUAUGCCUAGAAGAUAGAGGAGGUCUUCAGAUGAGAAGCCCAAAGCAGUGCUCAGGCACAGCUUACCAAGGAACUCAUAACAAAUGAGAAACUUCUGCCAGUAACAAAAAUAUAAGCCAGGAGGAAAAAGAACUGGAAGAGGAAGAACACGUUUUUCUUAAUUCUUUUCAAAAUAUGUGAGGGGGAAAAAAAGUGGAGAAAUAUGCCACUCACUCUGGACAAAGUGUCUUGGAAGCAAGGCCUAAAAAGAUAGCCAUUAUGGCAACCAAAGGUGGAUGUAAUUACAAAUGAAGACUUUGGGGGAAUCUCUAAAACAAUUCCUACAAAGGGUGCAGUUCAGAAAAAUCUAUGCAAAGGAUGAAAGAAAGACAACACUGGAACCUCAUGAGAGCAGAGAAAAAGCAAAAGAGAGUUUCCCCAUUUUUUCAUCAUGAGAUGUCAUUACAUCAGCAGCGUGUGAGAAUAACUGCCUCUCCAACAGAGUGCAUCAUUGAAGUUUUGGGCUUUUGACAAUCUAAUAUAUAAGAAGUGGUAUAUUGAUUUUUUUUUGUUACCUUCUUCCUGGUAUCAGAAUUCCUGAGAAACCAAUGAUGGGUGAAGAGGUUAUUAAGUGACGGUAUCAAAAGCUACUUCAACUGUAUAGACCUCUAUGCGCCUGCCUUCCCUUUUCUAAGGAUGAAUCGUCCAUGCUCUUACUGAAGGUCAACUCCACCAUCCAUAUUUUAGUUCCCACCCUCCCCCAGCUUGCUCAAGGAUAUGGUUCUAACAAUUCUUCUUUCUCUUGAAUAAUGAAUUUUUCCUUCACUAUUGGAUCCCUCCCUAUCAGCAUUCAAACAAACAGUAAUAGCUCCCAUCUUUAAAACAAAAAUUCUAGACCCCACGAUGUUUUGGACUCCACACAUCUCCAUCCAACUACCACUCCACUUCUCUGCUCUCUUGUACAGUUUAAAAAAAUAAAAAGAGUUGUCUAUUC